AGCGAACGCUGGCGGCAGGCUUAACACAUGCAAGUAGAGCGGGCAUCUUCGGAUGUCAGCGGCAGACGGGUGAGUAACACGUGGGAACGUACCCUUCGGUUCGGAACUACCCUGGGAAACUGGAGCUAAUACCGGAUACGCCCUUUUGGGGAAAGGUUUACUGCCGAAGGAUCGGCCCGCGUCUGAUUAGAUAGUUGGUGGGGUAACGGCCUACCAAGGCGACGAUCAGUAGCUGGUCUGAGGGGAUGAUCAGCCAACCUGGGACAGAGACACGGCCCAGACUCCUACGGGUGGCCGCAGUUGGGAAUAAUGGACGAUGGGCGCAAGCCUGAGCCAGCCAUGCCGCGUGGGUGUGGAAGGCCUUAGGGUUGUAAAGGUCUUUUGUCCGGGACGAUAAUGACGGUACCGGAAGAAAAAGCCCCGGCUAACUUCGUG
rnacentral:rRNA from 1 species